rnacentral:rRNA from 1 species
UUAUGAACUGGCGGCAGGCCUACACAUGCAGUCGAGCGGUAGAGAGAAGCUUGCUUCUCUUGAGAGCGGCGGACGGGUGAGUAAUGCCUAGGAAUCUGCCUGGUAGUGGGGGAUAACGCUCGGAAACGGACGCUAAUACCGCAUACGUCCUACGGGAGAAAGCAGGGGACCUUCGGGCCUUGCGCUAUCAGAUGAGCCUAGGUCGGAUUAGCUAGUUGGUGAGGUAAUGGCUCACCAAGGCGACGAUCCGUAACUGGUCUGAGAGGAUGAUCAGUCACACUGGAACUGAGACACGGUCCAGACUCCUACGGGAGGCAGCAGUGGGGAAUAUUGGACAAUGGGCGAAAGCCUGAUCCAGCCAUGCCGCGUGUGUGAAGAAGGUCUUCGGAUUGUAAAGCACUUUAAGUUGGGAGGAAGGGCAUUAACCUAAUACGUUAGUGUUUUGACGUUACCGACAGAAUAAGCACCGGCUAACUCUGUGCCAGCAGCCGCGGUAAU